UUCAUUAUUAUUGAUAUACAAGAUAUACAAAUUUCUUACAGCUAUGUGGUGUCGCCAUGGGGACGAGGUUCGCCCCCAGCUUCGCUAAUCUGUAUGUCUCCCAUUGGAAAUCUAGAUGUAUAUCUUUGGGUCAGACGCUGGGGGGGAGCCUCGUUCUAUGGUGACGCUACAUAGAUGACGUCCUUAUCAUCUGGGACGGCGACCAAGCAAGUUUAGAUAAUUUCAUCUUGUAUAUCAAUAAUAAUGAAUAUAAUUUGGGCUUCACCUCCACUUGUCACCCUACCCAGAUAGAUUUUUUAGAUUUAACAAUUUAUAUAGAAAAUAAUAUCUUAAAAACAAAAACUUUUUUCAAAAAUACUGAUUGUAAUACUGCUAUAGAUCGUGCCAGUUUACAUCAUCCUAUGUGGUUGAAAAAUGUCCCAAAGGGACAAUUAACACGAUUAAGA